AUUGAACGCUGGCGGCAUGCCUUACACAUGCAAGUCGAACGGCAGCGCGGGGGCAACCCUGGCGGCGAGUGGCGAACGGGUGAGUAAUAUAUCGGAACGUACCCAAGAGUGGGGGAUAACGUAGCGAAAGUUACGCUAAUACCGCAUACGAUCUAAGGAUGAAAGUGGGGACCGCAAGGCCUCACGCUCCUGGAGCGGCCGAUAUCUGAUUAGCUAGUUGGUGGGGUAAAGGCCUACCAAGGCAUCGAUCAGUAGCUGGCCUGAGAGGACGACCAGCCACACUGGGACUGAGACACGGCCCAGACUCCUACGGGAGGCAGCAGUGGGGAAUUUUGGACAAUGGGGGCAACCCUGAUCCAGCAAUGCCGCGUGA
rnacentral:rRNA from 1 species